rnacentral:lncRNA from 1 species
GCAGGAGCCGUGAGGCAAGAAGCUCUGGGAUCAAUUAAAAUGCCAGGCUUUUCCAGGCUGGUUUCCAGCGCAUCUGUGCAUGAUUCCACAUAAAUUUAGGGAAUUAAAGAUCAGACAAAGGCGGAUUCUUUACUGCUGAAGCACAGGGGAGAAGCCUAGUAAUAGCUCUUAUUAUUACCAUCCUGCUGGAUAACAGGACAAGACCCAACUUAGCCAACAAAAUGACCCCCAAAGUGACAGUGGGAAGAAGAAGGGAAGAGUAACCAGAAAUAGGUUAUGAAUCCCAGAGAUAUCCGCUUACAGAGAGGCC